AACGCUAGCUACAGGCUUAACACAUGCAAGUCGAGGGGCAGCAUGGUCUUAGCUUGCUAAGGCCGAUGGCGACCGGCGCACGGGUGAGUAACACGUAUCCAACCUGCCGUCUACUCUUGGACAGCCUUCUGAAAGGAAGAUUAAUACAAGAUGGCAUCAUGAGUCCACAUGUUCACAUGAUUAAAGGUAUUCCGGUAGACGAUGGGGAUGCGUUCCAUUAGAUAGUAGGCGGGGUAACGGCCCACCUAGUCUUCGAUGGAUAGGGGUUCUGAGAGGAAGGUCCCCCACAUUGGAACUGAGACACGGUCCAAACUCCUACGGGAGGCAGCAGUGAGGAAUAUUGGUCAAUGGGCGAGAGCCUGAACCAGCCAAGUAGCGUGAAGGAUGACUGCCCUAUGGGUUGUAAACUUCUUUUAUAAAGGAAUAAAGUCGGGUAUGCAUACCCGUUUGCAUGUACUUUAUGAAUAAGGAUCGGCUAACUCCGUGCCAGCAGCCGCGGUAAUACGGAGGAUCCGAGCGUUAUCCGGAUUUAUUGGGUUUAAAGGGAGCGUAGAUGGAUGUUUAAGUCAGUUGUGAAAGUUUGCGGCUCAACCGUAAAAUUGCAGUUGAUACUGGAUAUCUUGAGUGCAGUUGAGGCAGGCGGAAUUCGUGGUGUAGCGGUGAAAUGCUUAGAUAUCACGAAGAACUCCGAUUGCGAAGGCAGCCUGCUAAGCUGCAACUGACAUUGAGGCUCGAAAGUGUGGGUAUCAAACAGGAUUAGAUACCCUGGUAGUCCACACGGUAAACGAUGAAUACUCGCUGUUUGCGAUAUACUGCAAGCGGCCAAGCGAAAGCGUUAAGUAUUCCACCUGGGGAGUACGCCGGCAACGGUGAAACUCAAAGGAAUUGACGGGGGCCCGCACAAGCGGAGGAACAUGUGGUUUAAUUCGAUGAUACGCGAGGAACCUUACCCGGGCUUAAAUUGCAGAUGAAUUACGGUGAAAGCCGUAAGCCGCAAGGCAUCUGUGAAGGUGCUGCAUGGUUGUCGUCAGCUCGUGCCGUGAGGUGUCGGCUUAAGUGCCAUAACGAGCGCAACCCUUGUUGUCAGUUACUAACAGGUUCCGCUGAGGACUCUGACAAGACUGCCAUCGUAAGAUGUGAGGAAGGUGGGGAUGACGUCAAAUCAGCACGGCCCUUACGUCCGGGGCUACACACGUGUUACAAUGGGGGGUACAGAGGGCCGCUACCACGCGAGUGGAUGCCAAUCCCCAAAACCUCUCUCAGUUCGGACUGGAGUCCGCAACCCGACUCCACGAAGCUGGAUUCGCUAGUAAUCGCGCAUCAGCCACGGCGCGGUGAAUACGUUCCCGGGCCUUGUACACACCGCCCGUCAAGCCAUGGGAGCCGGGGGUACCUGAAGUGCGUAACCGCGAGGAGCGCCCUAGGGUAAAACUGGUGACUGGGGCU
rnacentral:rRNA from 1 species